rnacentral:rRNA from 1 species
CCUACGGGUGGCAGCAGUGGGGGAUAUUGCACAAUGGGGGAAACCCUGAUGCAGCGACGCCGCGUGGGUGAAGAAGCGCCUCGGCGCGUAAAGCCCUGUCAGCAGGGAAGAAAAUGACGGUACCUGAAGAAGAAGCCCCGGCUAACUACGUGCCAGCAGCCGCGGUAAUACGUAGGGGGCAAGCGUUAUCCGGAUUUACUGGGAGUAAAGGGGGCGCAGACGGCGCUGCAAGCCAGGAGUGAAAGCCCGGGGCCCAACCCCGGGACUGCAGUUGGAACUGCGUGGCUAGAGUGCAGGAGGGGCAGGCGGAAUUCCUGGUGUAGCGGUGAAAUGCGUAGAUAUCAGGAGGAACACCGGUGGCGAAGGCGGCCUGCUGGACUGCAACUGACGUUGAGGCCCGAAAGCGUGGGGAGCAAACAGGAUUAGAUACCCUAGUAGUC